ACUCUAAUAGUUUAUAAAAACAUUGGUCUUGUAAGCCAAAGACUGAAGAAAUCACAUCUUCUUAGAGUU
rnacentral:tRNA from 1 species